CUGUCAAAGGGUCAAGGACUAUGAGAUCUACAAAGUGAUCAUCUGACUGUACAAUAGUAACAUCAAACAGGCCAGUCCAGAACACAGCAAGUCCACUUAAGAAGCCAAGUGGAUCUUUCAAAAAAGAGUGAGGGAAGUGAAAUCUUCGCUGUAAGCUAGUCACAACUUUCUAUACAUUCUUUGUUUCCAUUAGAAAAACGAUGUCGGGCUUUUCAGAGGCUAACAAUGCCUUCAGUGCUUGAAUUGUCAGGGGAUUGCCAACCCCUAACAAUUCCAACUCAGGAGUUUCAUUUGGAAACGAUGGCUGUUGAGGGCCAGCCACUAAAGCCCAAGGAGCAGGAUUGUCUGCCACAAUCAUAGGAGUGUCCAUAAGGUGGGUUUCAUCAAAGUCUGCAGAGUAAUUAAGUCGAGUGUCAUAAGAGUUCAGAUGCGUGAAAGUCCCUGGUGGUAGAACAGGGGCCAAAACAGGGGCCUCUGAUGCAAGAAUGGGAGGGAGAGCUGGGAUAAUGGCCUGCAUAGCUGGAGGGGUUUCAGGUCUAAUUCUAUGCGGACUCUCCCAGAUGUAUCCGGUUUCACUUCCAGAACUCGACCCACCUGUUGCACGGCUCUUCGAAGAAGCGGUGGAGUAGUCCACUCCAAAG